AUAGUUUCCACUCAUUACUUCUCGACCGCCUCUUUUCUAGUCACUUUUGAUCAAAUCUUUCUUUUGAUUUUCUAUUCUCUUAUGAGAAAUGGUUUGCUUCGUUUGAGCCAUCGUCGCUAAAUGCAUGUAGGGGGGCUGGGGCUUUUCCCCCAUGACCCCUUUUAAAGGAGAACCAGAAGAACAACAAUGAACUCAAAGCUAAUGAAGGAGAUCCGCAACUUGAACAAGGUACACGGGAUCUUUCCUACCCCUUUCUAUUUCGACUUCUUUGAAAGGUGACCAGAAGAACAACAAUGAACUCAAAGCUAAUGAAGGAGAUCCGCAACUUGAACAAGGUACACGGGAUCUUUCCUACCCUUUUCUAUUUUGACUUCUUCGAGAGGUGAAAGACUAAGAAGCUAGACCGACUUGCUCUUAAAUUAAAAGCA
rnacentral:lncRNA from 1 species